AUCAAAUUCGGAUCGCCCAUAAAAGUAUAGUUGCAAAGCAAAGAAGAAAAGCAUACUGCAUACUCUCUCCCUGUGUGACCAUGCGAGGGCAACAUGGUUUAGAAGCUCCCUGAAUGUUGUUUGUUCAAAUUUCGAGUCUUUUGGUUCUUUUGCAGAAUGGUGGUCUUGGUGGUUGAGUCAGAAGGGUGAAUAGGACAAUGAGGGAAGUGUGGAAAGCUUUUCAUCAAGAAUCAAUCGAUUCUUUCUCCGGUGAUGCCCCAGCUGUAAAAACUUUUUGGUUUCUAGUUUAAACCCACUGUGUUGUAAAGCUAGAACAGAUGGGAGUUUUUGUUCCGCUGAAUCCAGUGGAUUAGGAUUUUGGAUUGUUGAUGUGUCUGAGUCUUUUUUGGCUGCUAAAUGUGAAGGUUGUAGAGGUGUUUCUGCUGAAUAUGCUGAAUUAGUAGCUAUUUUGGAAUGUUGCUCUACUGCUAAAGAUCUGGGUUUAGUAUAGAGAGUGAUUGUUAGGAUUGAAUUAGGAGUCUCCGGGGUUAGAGACUCCGCUGAGUUUGAGUUUGAUUUCGUUUUGAGUUUGAGUUCUUGUAAAUUUAGGAUUCGAUGUUCGAUGGUUGUGUAUAUAUAUCUAAAUCUCCAAUGAAUAAAGAUAAGAAGAGAGUAAAUGGUAUCAGAGCCACGAAACAGGAGCGAGAGGUCUGGCACGCUUGCGGGCUUCUUCUAGUUCUUCCUUGUCUUCGACCUUGACUUCUAUCGUGCUCGGUUUUCUUCUCGUCUUUCACUCAAAACUCGCCGAAACCAUUCGGUAAACUCGAUUCGUACUGAACUUCUUUUGCCGGUUGUUACGGAACUGUUUGAUGAAACGAGUUUCGUGGAUAGUUUCUUCAGGGAUGAUUUCGGUGAUAUCUUCCUAGGUUCUUGUGGUGAUUUCGGGUCGUCGUCGACUACGUGGCAAGAGGACGAUUAUUUUCAGGAAAUCGGUGAUUUGUUUGCUUCUGACCCCCUGCCGCUCCAAAAUUGACCGACGAAUCGACAAUACAACGGCGGAAGUCGUUUUUCUACUUUCAACGUCUCCUCUCAUAGAACAGUGAGGGGUCAAUCUCUUCUUGGAGGAGGGGCUUCAUUAUUUUAUCGACUGUUACAGUUACUGUUGCGGGGCGCUCAUCCCCCUUUUUUCUCUUCUUCAUCCUCUUCGACGCGGCUGAUGCCGUCGACAAUAACGGCUUUAGCUUUAAGAGAAAUGACGCAAUGGCUGUCGCUGUUGUAGAAGCGGAGGCGGAGGACAGCACGCUUGGACGAGAGUUCGGCAGCAGCGCCGUCGAAAAAAACGUUUUCUUGGAAGUGGGUUUGGAGGUGGAACGGAGAUAAGACGUUCCACGACCUCUGGAGAUCGGUGGCGGCGAUCUCUUACCAGCGGCAGCGGCGAUCUCUUAGAAACGCUGUGGCAGCGGCGAUCGUGUUGCGUUCUGGUGGCGGUACCAGAUCUCUUAGAAACGCUGUGGCAGCGGCGAUCGUGUUGCGUUCCGGUGGCGGCGAUCUCUUAUUCGUGAAUAGAAGCAUCACCGAUCGUGAAUAGAAGAUCGGUCUCAGAUUCCACGGCUUCGAAAUCGGUGCCUUCAGAGAGUUCCGAAUAAGACUCACAAACGUCCGAUCUUUAACGGGUUUCUGGCGAGUCGAAGUUCUGCGACAGGUUUUAGGGAGAUCCGGUUUUCUGUGAUGAUUCUGCCGCCGAUUGAGGGUUUUUAGACACAGCGGUCGAUAUGGCUGAAAACAAAGAAAAAGAACAUGGUGGGCGUGGUGGACGGAAACAAGGAACAGGGGCAGGAGGAAAAGGUCGUGGCGACCAAGUCAAGGCCCAUACAGCCAAAGUCUCUGCACAAGGCAAUGCGUCUCAAGGAAAAUAAAUCGAUGCAGUCAAGACUGGGUUAAAUGGACUAAGUAGUGAGCAGUGGAACAUGCUACUCAACCUUUUGAAUACACAAAAAGAGGGGAGUCAAUAAAGUGGUAAGCGAAAACUAUCAGAGUGGAUAAUAGACACAGGGGCUUCUCAUCAUAUGACAGGAAGUCUCGAGUUGAUGAGAGACAUAAAGAACAUCAUUCCAUGCUCAGUCGGGCUGUCAGAUGAGAAAGCGACAAUAGCAGAGAAAGAAUGUACAGUUGCGCUGGACGAUCAUCUAAAACUGACUAAUGUUUUAUAUGUGCCUAGUUUGAACUGCAAUCUAAUUUCUAUGUCGCAAUUGAUUGAGGAGUCGAAUUGUGUUGUUCAGUUCACUAAUAAAUUCUGUGUGAUACAGGACCGAACUACGAGGAAGCUAAUUGGAGCGGGUGAGUAGCGAGAGGGACUCUAUUAUUUCUGGAGCAUUGCAUCAGCGAGAGCAAUGAAGACUAUAGAGAGUAAGACGUGUGAUAUUUGACAUCAAAGGUUAGGGCAUCAUUCUCAUAAAAUUGUUAAGUUGCUGCCUUUUGUUAGUACUAAAAAUAAUAAGGAUGACAGUAUUAAGGGUUGUGAUGUAUGCUUCCGAGCUAAACAGUGUCGAGAAGAGUUUGUUUCUAGUAAUAACAAAGCAUCCGAUAUUUUUGAGUUAA